rnacentral:rRNA from 1 species
UGCAAGCCGAGCGGUAUUGUUUCUUCGGAAAUGAGAGAGCGGCGUACGGGUGCGGAACACGUGUGCAACCUGCCUUUAUCUGGGGGAUAGCCUUUCGAAAGGAAGAUUAAUACUCCAUAAUAUAUUGAACGGCAUCGUUUAAUAUUGAAAGCUCCGGCGGAUAGAGAUGGGCACGCGCAAGAUUAGCUAGUUGGUGAGGUAACGGCUCACCAAGGCAAUGAUCUUUAGGGGGCCUGAGAGGGUGAUCCCCCACACUGGUACUGAGACACGGACCAGACUCCUACGGGAGGCAGCAGUGAGGAAUAUUGGUCAAUGGGUGCAAGCCUGAACCAGCCAUCCCGCGUGAAGGACGACUGCCCUAUGGGUUGUAAACUUCUUUUGUAUAGGGAUAAACCUUUCCACGUGUGGAAAGCUGAAGGUACUAUACGAAUAAGCACCGGCUAACUCCGUGCCAGC